GGGUAACGUGCCUCAACAUGCAAGUCGAACGCGAAAGUUCCCUUCGGCGGCAGCAAGUAGAGUGGCGUCCGGGUGAGUAACGACGUGGGAUAUAUCUACCGUCUGGGGUGGGGACAUAACAACCGGAAAGCGGUUGCUAAUACCGCUAUAAUGCAGCGGCACCUUAUGGUGACAGUUGUUAACAUGCGGGGUGAUCGCAAGACCUCGCGCCUGAAGAGGAGCCUGCGGCGGAUUAGCUUGUUGGUAGGGUAACUGGCUUACCAAGGCGACGAUCCGUAGCCGGCCUGAGAGGGCGGUCGGCCACACUGACACUGAAAUACGGGUCAGACUCCUACGGGAGGCAGCAGUCGGGAAUUUUGGGCAAUGGGCGAAAGCCUGACCCAGCAACGCCGCGUGAAGGAUGAAAUCCCUCGGGAUGUAAACUUCGCAAGAACGGGAAGGAUAAGCCUGUGUUAACACCACAGGCGAUGACGGUACUGUUUGUAAGCUCCGGCUAACUCCGUGCCAGCAGCCGCGGUAAUACGGGGGGAGCAAGCGUUGUUCGGAUUUACUGGUGCGUUAAGGGCGCGUUAGGCGGCCAGCGCCAGUUCAGUUGUGAAAUCUCCGGGGCUUUAACUCGGAACCGUCCAACUGAUUACU
rnacentral:rRNA from 1 species